rnacentral:rRNA from 1 species
AGUGAACGCUGGCGGUAGGCCUAACACAUGCAAGUCGAACGGCAGCACAGUAAGAGCUUGCUCUUACGGGUGGCGAGUGGCGGACGGGUGAGGAAUACAUCGGAAUCUACUUUUUCGUGGGGGAUAACGUAGGGAAACUUACGCUAAUACCGCAUACGACCUACGGGUGAAAGCAGGGGAUCUUCGGACCUUGCGCGAUUGAAUGAGCCGAUGUCGGAUUAGCUAGUUGGCGGGGUAAAGGCCCACCAAGGCGACGAUCCGUAGCUGGUCUGAGAGGAUGAUCAGCCACACUGGAACUGAGACACGGUCCAGACUCCUACGGGAGGCAGCAGUGGGGAAUAUUGGACAAAGGGCGCAAGCCUGAUCCAGCCAUACCGCGUGGGUGAAGAAGGCCUUCGGGUUGUAAAGCCCUUUUGUUGGGAAAGAAAAGCAGCAGGUUAAUACCCCGCUGUUCUGACGGUACCCAAAGAAUGAGCACCGGCUAACUUCGUG